rnacentral:tmRNA from 1 species
GGGGGUGACCGGUUUCGACAGGUUAUGACUCGGGUGCAUGGUGCAGGCGGGGGUUGGACGGAUGGCCCCCUUAACAAUCCGCCCAAACAAAACUGCCAACGAUAACUUCGAACUGGCCCUCGCCGCUUAAUUUUUCUUAAGCGACGAGCGAGUCCCCGCGAUCUCCUGGUAACGGGCUCGUAAAACCUUCCAAAGGGUGACUCCGGUCUGCCGGAGGAAGGAACAGGAUGGGCCCCGCGAAACGCCCCCGCAGCCGGGCCGAGAUCAGGGGGAAAGUCCUCGAUGUGGGUCGUCCGCGAUUUACCCCUAGAGGCCACGCCAGCGGAACAAGCCUGUGAAGAGCCACCAUCCGGCAUUUCUUGGACGAGGGUUCGAUUCCCUCCACCUCCACAC